AGAAAGUGUGCUUUGGGUCCAAACAGGAGGGCAGGGAGAGGGAGGGGAGCCUGGGAAGGGGCACAGUGUGUGAACGAGAGGGCAAAAGAGUUGGAUGGAACCUGGAGAAGAGAAGGGCAAAGAACGUAGGAAGAUACAGACAGAAGAGGACAGAGACCAGACAGUCAAGACAAGAUAAAAAUCUGACAGAACUGAGUCAAAAAAGGCACACCGAGUGGAAACGUCCAGGCAGGACCAAAAGCCAGAGGAAAACCCAAAUGUCAGCAGCGAGUGGAGAAGAAGGGGAGAGAGGGAGCGCCCCAUCUGGGCUCUGGAGCCAGGGCAGACAGAAGUAAGAGAUGUGCGCCCAAAACUGCGCCCAGAGGGCAGAAAAGGAUCGGGUGCGCCAAGAAGGUGCGGAGAAAGGCAGGACCCAAACCACUGCCCCACGGACUGAAGUGCCCAAGCGGGCGCGGGCGGGAGAGUGGCGGGGCAGGCGCUCGCUCACCGAUCCGGGCGGCCGGCACUGUCCUCCGUCCGGGGGCUGCGGGCGGGCGCGGGCGGUGGCGAGGAGGGCGGCGAGCAGUGGCCCCGCCAGGGCGGCGUGCAUCCUGCCGGGGCCCGCGGGAAGCGGGGGACCCUCCUAGGCUGCGCCCCUUCAGCAAGGCGGGUAGCCCCCAGCUGGGCCCUACAAGAGACAAAAUAUGUAGACAUUGGCCUCAGGAAUUAGAGUCCAUGUUCCUUUCCACAAGAAAGAGGAAUGAACCAAAGACACCUCGAAGUGAUAAAGCAGGUGGGAAAAUUUGUAUUAUGUCUUGGUACAACCC
rnacentral:lncRNA from 1 species